GACGGUUUUAAUUUCCAAAAGUUAAACAUGGGAAGCUCUAUAUAAAUUAAAUAACUACCUGGAAUUUAAACCAUGUAUAUAAGAAACAUAGAUUCUAUAUUUCAAAAUAAAAUAUAGCAUAAGACUUUAGAAGCAGAUUCUGCAUAUUAAGUAAUUAUUUGAGAACAUGCCAUUGAUAAAGCUCUUGAGUGUUAGAGGUGAGGUUUCCCUUCAAUUUUAAAAAACUUUUAAAAUCUUUUAACAUUUUAGCAAGUCUGGAUAAACAAAGUCAUAUAGAACUACUUUUGUUCUCUUAGGCUUUUGCUUUUUGUGUUCAAAAAAAAGGUUUGCGGUUGGGCGCAGUGGCUCACGCCUGUAAUCCCAGCACUUUGGGAGGCCGAGGCGGGCGGAUCACGAGGUCAGGAGAUCGAGACCAUCCUGGUUAACACGGUGAAACCCCGUCUCUACUAAAAAUACAAAAAAUUAGCCGGGCGCAGUGGCGGGCGCCUGUAGUCCCAGCUACUCGGGGGGCUGAGGCAGGAGAAUGGCGUGAACCCGGGAGGCGGAGCCUGCAGUGAGCCGAGAUUGCGCCACUGCACUCCGGGAUGGGCGAAAGAGCGAGACCCUGUCUCAAAAAAAAAAAAAAAAGGUUUGCAAAAUACUCUGGGAAUAAUAAAAGGAUUAUUAACCUGACAUUAAUGUAACCUAUCUAAACAUUACAGAAAUCAAGAAAUACAAAUAGAUGACAUUAUUUUAUUCUUCUUAGGUUUUUAAUUAUAUUGCUUUAAACAUGUAAUGUGGGCAGUGUAGAUGUUAAUAUGGAAAUUCUUAUUUUUUAUUUCUUAAAUUAUAUAAAAUUAAAUUAGUCAUUUUAUAUAUAUUUAAAUUAAUGCUUUUGCCCUUGAAUUAUUCUAGCAGCCAGAAAAAUCUAGUUAAGCUUGUUAGCAUUAGACAAAAUAAAAAAGUGUAGAGAAAAAGAAAAGCGACUGUUCUGGUAUCAAUAAUGACAUAUUACAACCUUUUUUUGUACUAAAGUUUUUCUACAAAAACACGACAUUAAACUAAGGAUUGUUCAUUUUGAUGUGCGGGUUAAUGUUCAAGUCUCCAAAUACAAACUUCUAGUGUCUGCUCCACUUGUGUGCAAAUUAGGAAAUGCAAAAAUAAGAUCUCUUAUAUUGAUAGCUAUGUUUGUUUAGAUAAUCUUCAAAAUUUUAUAAUUUCUUAUAUUACCAAUCUCAUUCAUUUUGUUCAUGUGUCUCUUUAACAGCUGUUCAAAACAAGUUUUCUUCCCUUCCUCAUUCCUUCCUUCUGCCCUUCCUUCCCUUCCUUCUCUCUCUUCCCCUUCUCUUUUUUCUUCUUUCUUUCUUGUCCCUCUUCCCUAUCCUUCCUUUUUUUCUUUCUCCUCUCUUUUCUUCCCUUCUUUCCUACGUUACUCAUUAGUUUUUAGGUGUUUUUGUUUUAAAAUGCAGGGCAGCUUGGGUUAAGGGGUUAUCUAAUGCAAUAUAUUUUGCCAAACUGAGGUGCUGAACAAUGAAACAUUUCAGUUUAAACUUGCAUCAAGUCAGAAAACCUUCAAGUACAGUAUCAAGAGUUUUCUGACAAUGAAACUCCAAUACUGAAUGAUCAACUUUUAAAAUGUUACAGAUUCUGGCAGUUUCCCUCUUGCUAUCUUUGUAGUCUUUCUAAGUCAUCUAAACUAUUGAUUAGUUAUGUUAACUUCUUGUGUUGCAAAGAAAAAGAGCAUUUUUAGAAAUCUGACAAGAAAUUUUGUGAAAUUGCUACACAUAAUUUGUAUGUAAGUACAUAAAAGCACAAUACCAGCUAGCAUUGAAAAAUUUGAAUAAAGAUCAGAGAUUUCUCACUUUUUUCCACCCCUGUCCAAUAUACUGUGGUAUUAAAUAUUUAAUAUAUGUUCAUUCUUUCUCUUCCUCCCCCCAACCCCCACAAAGCUGUUAUCAAUCUGGACAGAUGAAUAAAUUUUGGCAAAAUAAGACUUGUUUAGAAUGAAAAUCAUAAUGCAGGGCCAGGCGUGGUGGCUCACGCCUGUAAUCCCAGUACUUUGGGAGGCUGAGGCGGGCAGAUCACCUGAGGUCGGGAGUUCAAGACCAGCCUGACCAACACGGACAAACUCCAUCUCUACUAAAAAUACAAAAAUUAGCUGGGCAUGGUGGCGCAUGCCUGUAAUCCUGGCUACUUGGGAGGCUGAGGCAGGAGAAUCACUUGUACCUGGGAGGCGGAGGUUGCAGUGAGUCGAGAUGGCACCAUUGCACUCCAGCGUGGGCCACAAGAGCGAAACUCCAUCUCAAAAAAGAAAA